GAUGAACGCUGGCGGCGUGCCUUAUACAUGCAAGUCGAGCGAACACACGAGGAGGUUGCUCCUCUGACGGUAACGGCGGACGGGUUAGUAACACGUGGAUAACCUGCCUAUGGGACUAGGAUCGCUUCGUGUAACCAUAGCGCAUACCGUAUAAUGUAUUGAACCGCAUGGUUCAAUGGUAAAAUUCGGUUUGCCUGUCACGUAUGGCUGUAUCCGCGCCGCAUUAGCUAGUUGGUAAGGUAACGGCUUACCAAGGCAACGAUGCGUAGCCGACCUGAGAGGGUGAUCAGCCACACUGGAACUGAGACACGGUCCAGACUCCUACGGGAGGCAGCAGUGGGGAAUCUUGCGCAGAGGGCGAAAGCUUGACGGAGCAACGCCGCGUGCGUGAUGAAGGUCUUCGGAUUGUAAACCUCUGUUAUUAGGGACGAAACAAUGUGUAAGUAAAUAUGCACGUAUUGACGGUACCUAAACAGAAAGCAACGGCUAACUACGUG
rnacentral:rRNA from 1 species